rnacentral:rRNA from 1 species
AAAUUGAAGAGUUUGAUCAUGGCUCAGAUUGAACGCUGGCGGCAGGCCUAACACAUGCAAGUCGAGCGGUAGCACAGAGAGCUUGCUCUCGGGUGACGAGCGGCGGACGGGUGAGUAAUGUCUGGGAAACUGCCUGAUGGAGGGGGAUAACUACUGGAAACGGUAGCUAAUACCGCAUAACGUCGCAAGACCAAAGUGGGGGACCUUCGGGCCUCAUGCCAUCAGAUGUGCCCAGAUGGGAUUAGCUAGUAGGUGGGGUAACGGCUCACCUAGGCGACGAUCCCUAGCUGGUCUGAGAGGAUGACCAGCCACACUGGAACUGAGACACGGUCCAGACUCCUACGGGAGGCAGCAGUGGGGAAUAUUGCACCAUGGGCGCAAGCCUGAUGCAGCCAUGC